AAUGAACGCUGGGGGCAGGCCUAACACAUGAAAGUCGAACGAGUGGCGGACUGGUGAGUAAUGUCUGGGAAACUGCCUGAUGGAGGGGGAUAACUAUUGGAAACGGUAGCAAAUACGGCAUAACAUCGGAUGUGCCCAGAUGGGAUGAGCUAGUAGGUGGCGUAAUGGCUCACCUAGGCGCCGAUCCCUAGCUGGUCUGAGAGAAUGACCUGCCACACGGGAACUGAGACACGGUCCAGACUCCUACGGGAGGCAGCAGUGGAGAAUAUGGUGCAAUGGACGCGAGCCUGAUGAAGCCAUGCCGCGUGUAUGAAGAAGGCCAUCGGGGUGUAAGGUACUUGCAGCGGUGAGGCGUUACCAGCAGAAGAAGCACCGGCGAACUCCGUGCCGGCAGCCGCGGUAAUAC
rnacentral:rRNA from 1 species